UACGAAGGGGGCAAGCGUUGUUCGGAAUUAUUGGGCGUAAAGGGAGCGUAGGCGGUUCGGCAAGUCUCUAGUGAAAUCUCUGGGCUCAACUCAGAGUCUGCUGGGGAAACUGCCGGGCUGGAGUAUGGGAGAGGUGAGUGGAAUUCCUGGUGUAGCGGUGAAAUGCGUAGAUAUCGGGAAGAACACCAGUGGCGAAGGCGACUUACUGGACAGAUACUGACACUGAGGCGCGAAAGCGUGGGAAGCAAACAGG
rnacentral:rRNA from 1 species